rnacentral:rRNA from 1 species
CGAUAAGUAAUGUGAAUUGCAGAAUUCAGUGAAUCAUCGAAUCUUUGAACGCACCUUGCGCUCCCUGGUAUUCCGGGGAGCAUGCCUGUUUGAGUGUCAUGGAAUUCUCAACUUCUAAUACUUUUUUGUUAUCAGAAGCUUGGAUUUGGAGGCUCGUGCUGGCUCUCUCGUUAGAGUCGGCUCCUCUUAAAUGAAUUAGCGUGAAUCACUAUGGAUCGCUUCGGUGUGAUAAUUAUCUGCGCCGUAGUCGUGAAGUAUUAAUAAAAGUUCUCGCUUCUAAUCGUCCUUCACGGGACAAUUAACCCUGACUUUUUGACCUCAAAUCAGGUAGGACUACCCGCUGAACUUAA